CGAACCAUCUAGUAUCUGGUUCCCUCCGAAAUAUCCCUCAGGAUCGCGGACAUCCCUAUCGAUUGAUCAGUUUCAUUACGUAGGGAGAAUGAUUGGAGGUUUCCGGAACGCAAUGUUCUCGGCCUACUCUCAAACUUCGAAGUGGUGACACCAAUAUGUUUCGGGCGUAAAAUCAUUUAACUCUACAAAUCGUUAGUGAGUUUAGUGAGCAUAUUCGGGAAUGAUCGAUGUCCAGUGGGCCAUUUUUGGUAAGCAGAACUGGCGAUCCGGGAUGAACCGAAAGUCGAGUUAAGGUGCCCAACUGAGAUUUAAUUGAUACCAUUAAAGGUGUCGGUCAAUGUAGACAGCAGGGCGGUGGCCAUGGAAGUCGGCAUCCGCUAAGGAGUGUGUAUUAACUCACCUGCCCAAUUGACCGGUCCUGAAAAUGGAUGGCGCUUAAUAUUUCGACCGAUACUCGGCCGUUUGAGGUGACUACUUAAACGGGUAGGGGGGCACAACGGUAGCUGAGAAGGAUCAACGUGAGUUGGUCUGGAGCUGCCGUUGGAGCUGAUCUUGGUGGUAGUAGCAACUAUUCGGGUGGGAACCUCGAAGUCCGAGGUGGAGACGGGUUCCAUGUCAAUUGUAGUAAGACAUGGGUUAGUCGGUCCUAAGUGACUCCCGAAGGGGUUUAAAGACAGGCAUCGAGUUUAAACUGUCGGUCACGAAAGGGAACCAGGUUAAUAUUCCUGGACCAGAUAUCGGAAUUUUGGCUAGUUGUCCAAUAUCUAGAACAUUUAAUGAGUUAAUCUUCAUUAAAUGUUUUUGGUGUAGGUUUGUAGAUUGGGAAACUGAUCUACUUUUAAAACAAUAUGUCAAUAAGCGGUAACGCGACCGAACUGAGCGAUGUCGGACGUAGCCAGAGGAAGAGUUUUCUUUCUUCAUAACGAACUAAUGACCAUGGAA
rnacentral:rRNA from 1 species